rnacentral:tRNA from 1 species
CAGGGAGACAACAAAAUGUAAAUAUUAAUUUUGUCACCUUAGGUCGAUCGGUAUCUCAGAUUCUUAUUUUUUAAGAAUUUCAGUUUCUAAGUUUUUUCUAGGUCACACCCAUCACUUUUCCUGGGCCAUUAGCUCAGGUGGUUAGAGCGCACCCCUGAUAAGGGUGAGGUCCCUGGUUCAAGUCCAGGAUGGCCCAUAUCUCUAUGUUGGGGGUAUAGCUCAGUUGGUAGAGCGCCUGCUUUGCAAGCAGGAUGUCAGCGGUUCGAGUCCGCUUACCUCCACUGAAUACCACCUCUUACAUAUAUAUAAAGAGGGAAAUUGUUUUGAGUCGUGUCCUAAUUUGCUCUGAGCGAAUCUAGCUUCCUAUUUUAUUCUAUAAAUAAGAUGCUGGACUCAUUGAAUUUAUUUCAUUGUUUUCAGAGAACCUUGACAACUGCAUAGAUUAUUUUUGAAGACAAUAAGCAUCUUUAAUGAUGCAGAUUUAUUAUUUGUGCGAAUGCAUUAAAUAACAAUUCUAUUAAGCUGAUGCUUCAAUUAUUGAAGUUAUU